CAUGCUAGAGCACUUUUUCAAUGUGCUCCACAACGAGAAGGCGAAGACGUAUUCGUAUGUCAAUCCAUGUCAACUUUCGAUGCCAUUGACUGCGCCUACCAUGGUGACCACAGGUAAUGGGGAAUCAGGGUUGGAUUCCGUACAGGGACCCUGACAAAUGGCUACCACAUGCAAGGAAGACAG
rnacentral:rRNA from 1 species